rnacentral:rRNA from 1 species
GAUGAACGCUGGCGGCGUGCCUAAUACAUGCAAGUCGAGCGAACAGACGAGGAGCUUGCUCCUCUGACGUUAGCGGCGGACGGGUGAGUAACACGUGGAUACCCUACCUAUAAGACUGGGAUAACUUCGGGAAACCGGAGCUAAUACCGGAUAAUAUAUUGAACCGCAUGGUUCAAUAGUGAAAGACGGUUUUGCUGUCACUUAUAGAUGGAUCCGCGCUGCAUUAGCUAGUUGGUAAGGUAACGGCUUACCAAGGCAACGAUGCGUAGCCGACCUGAGAGGGUGAUCGGCCACACUGGAACUGAGACACGGUCCAGACUCCUACGGGAGGCAGCAGUAGGGAAUCUUCCGCAAUGGGCGAAAGCCUGACGGAGCAACGCCGCGUGAGUGAUGAAGGUCUUCGGAUCGUAAAACUCUGUUAUUAGGGAAGAACAAAUGUGUAAGUAACUGUGCACGUCUUGACGGUACCUAAUCAGAAAGCCACGGCUAACUACGUG